CCAGACCCUUUGUGUGCUCCUGAUGGCGCCGUGAUUUGGCGCAUUUCCCGCGACCUAACGGGUGCGAAGGGUGACAGAAGUUGAACGAUGUGGUUUCUUUACAUUCUGUUUUGGGGAACGGCGCAGAUAAAUUUUAUUUAUUGCAAAAAAGAAGGAAUACCCAUCACAACUUUUAAAGUCGUCACAAGAGCACGAGAAAUAGGUGCAAGAGAGGACCAUAUGACCGGUGGAGCCAUUCGGACGAUCAUGGCUGAUCAUGGCCUUCAGCUCCACUUUCCCUCCUGUUCUCCAUAUCCUUGCCUAUCCCAGCCUUAACAAUGGAACUUCCAUAACUCUCUAGGGUAGAAAAUUUAGAAAAUUCACAACCCUUUGAGUUAAGUAAUUUCUCUUCAUCUCAGCCAUAAAUGCUUGGUCUCUAAUCCUGAGACUGUGCCCCUGUGUUUUAAAUUCCCUGACGAGUGGAAACAAUUCUCAGCAUCUACCCCAGGCUUGUCCAACCCCCAGCCUGUGGGGUCUGAAGCCUCUGUAUGUGGGCCACAGACGCCCUGUUCAAACUAUGGCGGUCAUAACACCUGUGAUGAGCCUGUCAACAACAAAUUCAGUAGAGAAUCAGUUUCUGAUUGGAGGAGCAGUGUGAAGGUGGCAGCAGAGGUGCAGUAAACAUCAAACAACGUCGAAAUGUACCAGGAACAAGUCGAAUGCAAAUGAGAAGAAAAUGUAAAUGCUGGAAAUCUGAAAUUAAAACAGAUUAUUCUGGAAA